AGCGAACGCUGGCGGCAGGCUUAACACAUGCAAGUCGAGCGGGCCCUUCGGGGUCAGCGGCGGACGGGUGAGUAACGCGUGGGAACGUGCCUUCUGGUUCGGAAUAACUCAGGGAAACUUGAGCUAAUACCGGAUACGCCCUUUUGGGGAAAGGUUUACUGCCGGAAGAUCGGCCCGCGUCUGAUUAGCUAGUUGGUGGGGUAACGGCCUACCAAGGCGACGAUCAGAAGCUGGUCUGAGAGGAUGAUCAGCCACACUGGGACUGAGACACGGCCCAGACUCCUACGGGAGGCAGCAGUGGGGAAUAUUGGACAAUGGGCGCAAGCCUGAUCCAGCCAUGCCGCGUGAGUGAUGAAGGCCUUAGGGUUGUAAAGCUCUUUUAUCCGGGACGAUAAUGACGGUACCGGAGGAAUAAGCCCCGGCUAACUUCGUG
rnacentral:rRNA from 1 species